rnacentral:rRNA from 1 species
UGGCGGCGUGCUUAACACAUGCAAGUCGAACGAUGAAGCCCCGCUUGCGGGGUGGAUUAGUGGCGAACGGGUGAGUAACACGUGAGCAAUCUGCCCCUGACUCUGGGAUAAGCGUUGGAAACGACGUCUAAUACCGGAUAUGACGACUGGCCGCAUGGUCUGGUUGUGGAAAGAUUUUUCGGUUGGGGAUGAGCUCGCGGCCUAUCAGCUUGUUGGUGAGGUAAUGGCUCACCAAGGCGACGACGGGUAGCCGGCCUGAGAGGGUGACCGGCCACACUGGGACUGAGACACGGCCCAGACUCCUACGGGAGGCAGCAGUGGGGAAUAUUGCACAAUGGGCGCAAGCCUGAUGCAGCAACGCCGCGUGAGGGAUGACGGCCUUCGGGUUGUAAACCUCUUUUGUCUAGGAAGAAGCCGCAAGGUGACGGUACUGGGAGAAAAAGCACCGGCUAACUACGUGCCAGCAGCCGCGGUAAUACGUAGGGUGCAAGCGUUGUCCGGAAUUAUUGGGCGUAAAGAGCUCGUAGGCGGUUUGUCGCGUCUGCUGUGAAAUCCCGAGGCUCAACCUCGGGCCUGCAGUGGGUACGGGCAGACUAGAGUGCGGUAGGGGAGAUUGGAAUUCCUGGUGUAGCGGUGGAAUGCGCAGAUAUCAGGAGGAACACCGAUGGCGAAGGCAGAUCUCUGGGCCGUAACUGACGCUGAGGAGCGAAAGCGUGGGGAGCGAACAGGAUUAGAUACCCUGGUAGUCCACGCCGUAAACGUUGGGAACUAGAUGUGGGGGCCAUUCCACGGUCUCCGUGUCGCAGCUAACGCA